GGGUAACACCCUCCUUUUCAUUUCCAUUUUCAUACCAAAUGCCCCCUGACCCCUCUCUCCUCUUCCCCCUUUCCUUUCUCAGCUAACCCUAGUCACGCCGCCCCCAAAUCUUCCCUCUCUCAUGCCAAGAAUGGCAAAAACGCAGAGCUAGCAAGGAUUUAGCAGCUUUUGCACAACCAAAAUCAUGAAACAAUUAAUGUUUCAACACUAUUCGCACUCAAAACUAUCCUAACAUGUUCGAGAGUUGGAAGCACAAGGAGCUUUCGGGCCUCUCUCUUGACCAAAGGCUGCAUUUAAAAAAGGUAAUACUUCAACCCUUUUAUUUAUUUUACUAUUUUGUUCAUAAGCUGAUGAUUGGUCUGUGUUGUUGAGUGUUCUGAUUGAUGGUCUUAUAGUAUUAUUUUUGCUUUAGCACUGUUUAAAUGGACUUGGAGUGAAUCCCUCUUACACAUGAUACCUUUCUUAUGUUAUGUACCUAGUCUAGUAUUUAGCUAUUUGUUUUAAUUGAAUGGCCUAGACUAGUGCUAAUCCUUUACAAGAAUGUUUGAGGCUACUGGAAAUUUGAAUGGUCCAUAUUGAAUAAGUUUAAGGUCUGGUAAGGGUCAACAGUGUACUAUCAGUAAUAUAUUGAAAUAAGGAGUUUGCUUAGUUUUAUUAGGAAACACAUAGGGUAUUAUAAGACUGUUUGAAUAUUAAUUUAGGUUGUGUGAUCUUUUGAUGAGGCUGCUUUGUUCUAAGUAGUCUACAUGACAUGUUUAGAGGGUCACUAUUUGAUUACUUGCCUUUUAAUGUGAUUACACCUAUCUCAAAAGGAUUAGUGACUUAAACAUAUCUCUAAGUGUUGUCUAAUGACCUUUGUUUUGAACUUUGAUUAUGUCUAUAACUCUCAUCAGCCUGAUCUGUAAUAUUCCCUUUCUAAAAGUGAGACUGUCAUGCUCCCCCCCCUACCAUUCCUAAGUAAAAAUCACCUUAAAUCUGUGUGUAAAGAAUCCUUGGUGCAAACAUGCUAUGUUCACUCCGGAUGCCUUCCAUGACUGAUGCUGCAUUGUUGUACCAGUACCAUAAGUUGACAUUCUCUGUGAUUUGUUUCUAUUUCCUAUUUGGCUUGUCAAGCUUUAUGGUGUGCAAUAAUUAUUUGACCUUGGUAAAAUAUGGUGAAAAAAGGAUCAGAGACAUAAGUAGAUUAAGAAUAUAGUAUUUUUUUCAAAAUAAGAGUCUUAUGUUCUGUUCAUAGACCAGUCUAGCUUAUUACCUCAUGUUAAAAACAAGUCAAGUUAAAACAAGACUUGCAGAUUGUGUAUGCUUUGUUGGGAGACUAAUGCUUAGAGUUCUUAUUUGAUCAUGACCUUUGGACUAAGUUUGACUAAAGAAGGCAGCUGGCUUAUUGCUAACAACUUAAGCUUAAAAUUAAGAAAUAUUGAGUGAACCUAGCCUUAAUAACUAGUUGUCAUUAAGUUAAAUGUUUGAACAUCAAUCAAGGAUAGAACCAUAAUAGGAAUAAGUUUAGAAAAGAACUAAACCAAGGCUGUUAGAGAAAAAGGGGGGGGGGGGGGGGUUAGACUAAUAAUGAACCAUUAGUUUACUAGGUUGACACUGCGUUGCAAGUCUGAUCUACUCCAGUACUAAAACAGGACUAGGUAAAGGGGAGGGGGAUAAAACCACCUGAGCUAGUCUGAACCUUGUGUACAUUAAUGAGAAUAACUCUACCUAAAGAUUAGUUAGUAAGGAAUUUGAGUCAAUCUUUUGAAGAGGCUGCCCUUUAGAACCUUAGUAGAAAUCUAAAUUAUUUGCCAUACAGCCUUGUUUAUAAAGGUAUCAUAUUGUCUUUGCAACUGCAUUGCAUUUUAAGGAUUUAUUUCAUUUGCCAGUUGAGUCUUUCUUUCCUUUUCCCUUUUUCCUUCUUUUCUGUGAAUCUUGUUGUGUCAAAGGCUUAAAGUUUUGAUCAUGCUUAAGCAUUAAAGGAUCCCAACUGAGAAUCAGGGUUGGUCCAUGGCCAUUUGGUUAUUUGUUUGCUUGAAAUGCCUUUGAAUCCUGCUUAGAGGUUCUGAAUGUCUCAAAGAGAGAAUCAACACUGUAUUUUAACCAAUAGAUGUGAUCAUGUCAUACCUAAGAUCAAGUUGCUAAUCUAACCUGUAUUAUUAAAUCAUGAGAUUCCUAUAUGAGUUCUAUUGGAAUAUAACUGGUUCAAGAUUAAAAAUGGAAAUCUGCCUACCGUUCACUUUUUGAGUCAUUUGUGUUUGGGUCUGAAUUCUAAUACUUUGUCCAGAUAUUUUAGUUAUCAUCAUUUAAUUGACUGUCUCAUAUGCACUUUCUAUGACUUGGUGAAAUGAAGUUUGUAAUAUGACAUGACUUGCUAAAUGCCUAGACUAAUUUGAGAUGGUUCUAUAAAGUUGAAGUAGUUUAAGGAACUUGUUGAUGACACUUUGACCUAUGUUGUGACUCUGUAUGAACAUUUGUUAGACUCUAGUGGUGAAAAAUGAUUCUAAUCCUAGCCUAAAUGAUCCUGUCUACUUGUGUCUACAUGCAUUUGAACUUGUUAAAGCAUUUGGUGGCAAUGUUCCUUAUGAUUAGAAAGGGAUUGAUGGUAAGCUAAAAAUCACAUGGCGUAGAAGAGUUUUUUUUUUAAGGUGACUUCAGAGGGGAUUAAGGGGAGAAUCAAGUACAGUUUGGUUCACAACACCUUUCCUCCACAUAAAAGGCACCACAACACUUUUUAUAAGCCCAUGGUGGUGCAUGCUGACUGUACAAAUCUCUUAGAAUCAUAAUGAACUCUGCUGCCAUAACUUAGAAAACUUGGUUAGAAAUAGGCAUACACUGAUGAACAGCUUAGUGAAGUCUAGUGAUGAACCAAGGUGCAUAUGUACAUGAUUGAACUAGACACAAAAGGAUGAACUUUAAAGGAAAACAUGAAACCUGAAUAGGUAGGACAUUGAAACUGAAUCACUGAAGACCACUGAGAUCUUGUAGAUCUUUGUUUUUUCCCUCUAAAAAAAAACUCCACCAAAGAGACAUGGAUGAUUUUCUGCAUUCUUUCUAUACUAUGUAUAAAUCCUGCAUACUUCUUCACCUGGUGUUUUCAUCUUGUUACACCUGACUGGGGCCUGAAGAUCCACCUUUGUGCUAUGUUUAUGUGUCUAGACCUGACUGAAACUUGUUCCUGUUUUUUUCUUCUCUGUAUUAUACAUGUCUGCUCAAUUUGCAUAUAUCCUUUUGCAAACAUUACAUGGGAUAUACUUACCCUUUACUUGGGCCUUCUUUGGUGUCCUUUAUAUAUGCAGUGUACAUCUAAAACUACUGCUAGGGCCUGCCUAUGUUUGUAUAUCUUCAUGACUGAAAUUGUCAAGCUCAUUUGCAAAGACUACUUCUAGUUUGUGAUAAUUUAUAGUCUAAUGAAUAUAUUCCUAUCCAUUUAUUGCAACUGAGUAGAAGUAAUGCUACACGGUGUGAUAUUGUCCUUUAUUUUGGGAGUUAUUUUUGCCUAUUCCUCUAUAUCUCUGUUUUUGAAAGGCCAAACUGCUCAAUGAUAUUUGAUCUUAAAUGUAUCCUUGUGUUUGAUUUUGGUAAUGUUGAGGAUCAUUUGGGGUUGGUCUAACCUUCCCCCAGUGCUAGCCAUGUCUGGGGUUCGAUGAAACCCCUUGAAUCUUGUGCGACACUGGGAAUAAGGAUGGUGACAACCACCCUAAUCUCAUUCCAAAAUACUCAGCCCACACAUCACAAAAAUGCACUAUGGAAAAAAUAUCAUGUUAGGACAGUUUGGCCAUCUUUGUUAUUACCAUGCGUGUAUACCUUCUAUAUAUAUUGUUUGAAAUUUUAUAGGAUCUAGUCUAACCGAAUUCUUUUUUUUUUUCUCCUUUCCCUCUCUUACUCUUCGCAUGGCCAUUUGGGCCGAGGACACAAUUCUUUUAGACCUAUAGCGAGUCCGAGGAAGGGAGGCUAAUAUGUAUAUUCACGAAGGCCCAACCAUGGGUUAAAAUGGUUAAGGGGGCUUGGUACACCCCAAGUCAUUUUACUAUUAUUGCAUGAUAUGUUUGUUUUUGUAUUUGAAUUUGUAAACUCACACUUAUUGGAAACCAAAUGGUUGGAAUUAGACAUUUUAGGCAAA